UCCGGUUUGUCACCGGCAGUCUCCCUAGAGUUCCCGACCGAAUCGCUGGCAACUAAGGAUAAGGGUUGCGCUCGUUACGGGACUUAACCCAACAUUUCACAACACGAGCUGACGACAGCCAUGCAGCACCUGUCACUCGAUUCCCGAAGGCACCCCCUCAUCUCUGAAGGGUCUCGAGGAUGUCAAGUCCUGGUAAGGUUCUUCGCGUUGCUUCGAAUUAAACCACAUGCUCCACCGCUUGUGCGGGCCCCCGUCAAUUCAUUUGAGUUUUAACCUUGCGGCCGUACUCCCCAGGCGGUCUGCUUAUUGCGUUAACUGCGCCACUAUGCACACAAGGUGCCCAACGGCUAGCAGACAUCGUUUACAGCGUGGACUAC
rnacentral:misc_RNA from 1 species